rnacentral:rRNA from 1 species
CGUGGAUAACCUGCCGUGCACAGGGGGAUAACACUUAGAAAUAGGUGCUAAUACCGCAUAAGCGCACAGUUUCGCAUGAGACAGUGUGAAAAGCCUGGAAGCGAUUCCGGGCGGUGCAUGAUGGAUCCGCGUCCGAUUAGCUAGUUGGCGGGGUAAAGGCCCACCAAGGCAGCGAUCGGUAGCCGGCCUGAGAGGGUGGACGGCCACAUUGGGACUGAGACACGGCCCAAACUCCUACGGAAGGCAGCAG